ACAAUUAUUUAUAAAUGAGCUAGUUGAUGGUCGUUUUGCAGUUAGCUGAAGCCCACAUCAUUUGUAGGCUUACUUUAAUAACUCAACUUGAAUAUUGCUGAUUUGUUCCAAAGAUUAAUUUGUGCUGCAUUUGUUUACUAGGAGAAGAAAUACAAAUUAAUCUUCUACAUGAUUGAUUGGGCCGAUCUUAUCUUCAAUAUUGAAGGAAGAUAUCAUCAGCAGACAGACGAGCAGCUCCUUUUUCUCUUUGGUUUCUUUUUAAUAUAACACUUCAACCCAGUGGAAUAUCAAUAUAUUGAUAUAUAUAAGUCAGUAUAUUCUAAGAGCCUAUCCAACAUCAGAUGAUCUAUGGUUGUGGGUUGCACGAGACGCCGUUACGUUCGAUUCUAAAUGCAAUGUGAAUAACCAUAACUGCAACACUUAUCCAUAACCGCAGCACUUGCCCUGUCCCCGGUGGGACGGUGGACGAGAGCAUAGGGGGGGCCAAGGGGGGGACGUAUGCAUUCAAGGCAUCGAUCCGAUGCAGCAUGAUGGAGAGGAGGGGUCGACUGUUGGAGUGGAAGACGUGCCGCUGAACCGAGACACGUGGAAUUAGCCGACAACGAGCGGCCUGUCCAUCCGCCCGUCCAUCUUCAUCACGCGGCCUCGCCGCCCCGCAUCCGGGGACCCAUUAGGGAAUCGGGCCCUCGUCGUUUUUCUCCGCUCCGGUGAUGAGUCACUCCCACAAAGUUGCUUAUCGAUCGGGGCGCCGUGCGUCAGCGCCCGCUAAGUGGCCCCUCCCGCCCGCCUGUGUGACGGUCUCUGAGACCGGCCGAGUGGUCUCGUUAUUACGGCGUCAGCGAAAAGAGGCGUGCGAUGUGGGAUCGGAGGUUUUAGGGUGUGACAAUUGGGGGGGAAGGGGCAUCAUUUAUUAUGUGUGUCUCUGCUCAGUCGCACUUUGUGCCAUUUGCAUCGUUUCCUCCAGAGAUUAGUCAUCUGUUUGAGAGGCGAGGAGCAGUCUGCGGCUGCACUGUUGUGACCGCUGUUUGAAGCUGCGUGUGUCCGCAGGUGUUAUUUAAAGAUGUCCCAGGCUACUCAGGGCUCUAAACUAACAAUUAAAAGGUAAAACAUGCCCGUCUAAUUUUUUCUGUAAAAUAAAAUGUGAUAUGAAAUACUAAACGCUUAACAAUGGCAAUGUGAAAAUUAAAACAUAAACUGCGGUACGAUUGUCUAACUGUAUAUCUAAUGGAAGAUUAUUUAAGGGUUUUGUAUCAUUCUGUUUGCUGCUGCAGUGGUGUUCCUGUAUAUUGAAAAUUGAACGUUGACAUUUUUGACCCGGAGAACUUAAAUAGGUUUUGCUGCUGUUACUGUUCACAGAACUUUUGCUGUUCACCAGCAAAAGAUUCCCGUGUCAGUCACACUGCUUCAAUUCUUUCUUCUUUUGUAACUUUCGUCCGGUUUGGUUUGGCAGUGCUCACAGAGCAAAGAUACAGCUGUGCCUCCAAACUGCUGUAUGGAUGAUGCCCUUUUGCUUCACUCAUGUAGUUUGGUGACUGCGUUUUGCAGGAGGAUAGUUUACCCCUUUUUCCUGGCAAUGCUUUUUUUUUUAUCCCCCCAUUAAAGAAUGUAGAAGGUUUCCAGAAGUGCACUAUUCGUAUGAAACGAGCUGCGGCGCCUUUUACUCUUUCAGACCAUUACAGAUGUGCCGCGGCAGGUGUGAGUUUUAUAAUGUGUCCUUUGAGGAAAAAGCAGGCGGAGGAGUGGCGUUCUCCAAUAACACGGUUGUGGCUUCAAAGUUCACUGAGAAAUAUUGGAGGCUUCAGAGGCUCCUACGACCACGAGCUGCCUCACACUCCUCACACCUGGACUAAUAUUGUUGUUGAAGUCUGGCAUUUAAUAUCACUUGUGUAUUGUCAUGCUCGAGCUCUGUCUUAAAUACUAGAUAUAGAAAAAGCUUUUUCUUGUAUUAGGAAGAAUAUCUUCCACGGUAAAAUAAUUAAACUGACUCCUGAGAUUCCAGAAGGAUAUCGAAUAAUACACGUUAAGCACAGUACAGUUAAACAAAACAUCCGAACCUGAAGUAGAAUGAAAAUAUACAUCCCCUGUCAGGGUAAAAUGUGCUUGAGGAAAUGAAGAGAGCAUUCUUCUGAGAAUGGGAAAUAGAUUUUUUAUAAUCCAAAACCAGGAAGAGAAAGAAACCGUUGAGGGCAAAAGAGACGUUUCAGCCAGCUGCAUCUUCGCAUGGGUGCAGAGUGAAGCCCUUUGAUGGGGUUUGCAUUUUUUAAGAUGCUCUCAAAGAGGGGAUGGGGGGGUUCUGGAUUCCUCUCUAGGUUUUCAUUAGUCAAUGUAUUAAACAUCAGCCCAGGAGAGAAAAUGUAUUUUAAAGUUGAAGAGGUAGAGCCGUGUAUGAAUAUACACACACACUCCCAUGCGCUCCCUCUCUGUUCCGUACGUUGCAUUUGUCAUUCCCUUUCUGCGUCUGUCCUCGCGCGGCUCCGCCUGCCCUUUCCCUCCAGCUGUUGCUUUGAUAUUGGCUUCAUGAAAUCUGUGUAUUAACACCACGGACGUAUGAAUAUAACGUGCCGCCACGCAGAGAGUCUCUCUCAUUCUCUUCUAAUCUUUUUUUUGCCUCCUUUUCAAUAUUUAAUCCUGUUACCCUCCACAGAAUACAAGAACUUUUAGUCUUGUUUUCUUCCUGUGACUUUGCUAGUGGGGUGGGGAGGAUGUAAUGCUUCUUUAUUCAUCUUUUUUCUCUGUGGACAUCUGACUGUGAGGCUCUGAUGAGGUUUUUCUUCAGGUGUCCCGAUAGUCGGGUGCAAUGUUUUGUCCUGCGCUCGCCCAUUUUCCGCUCAGCCUGUUGGGGACAAAACUUAGUUUCUUUGCAAAUCUCCGGCGUCACAAUUGUGGCAGAGAAUCCGCCUCAACUGACCUUACGCAAAUCGGCAUUAUGUAAGAAAAAUGAACUUUUAUAAUAUUAACUCAGCAAAGACCUGAGGUGCUACACUUUUAUGAUCGCAGUACUGGACGAUGCCAUCUCCUUUACCUCUUUGAUCAGACAUUUCUAGAUGUAUUUCCUUUUCUUUAUGUUGUGUUUAUCAUGUUGUGUUUUUCCAAACGUAACGUCUCCAUUUAAGCAUGCAAUGCCCGGUUGUCACCCGAUGCCUUCGUUGGUUGAUGUGGGCUGUUAGUAGGGAGAUUAAGCUUUUCUAUUUUUCUUCCCAUUUUGCAGGAUAAUUAGGCAGUUAGUCUUUUUUUAGAGGUUGCGUUUUCAAAGAAAUUCCAUUUGUUUGGGGGAUGACGGGCGUCCAGUAGGACGCUUUUUGGCUCACUCGCUGUAAUUGUCUAACGGCACUCAAUACAAAGAUACCAGUGAAAUUAUGGAUGUAAUCUUCUGUGCAGCUUUCAUGUGUUCCCAUUCUCUUAAACGGAAGAGUUUCUAUUUGGAGUUACAAAUUAAUAAGUUCAGUAAUUGGCGUUAGAAAUAUGUGUCAACCACUGCAGCAACAACAGCUGUUCAGGCACCGGUUACAAACGGCAAACGCGGCUACAAACAAAGACGCGCUGGCUGAUUGUGGAUCAUUGGAGUUCUGUGAGUCGACUCAACGACGGAUCGAUUGCUCGUGUCUUAAUAGUUGUCGCUCUGAUGUUUGCUCGUGCGCGUCGUGUCGCCAUUGAUCGAGCGGUAAACACCUCGAUCCUGCCCCUCUAAGGGGCUCUAACCAGGUUGUUUUCCCGAUACCCCCCUCGGCCCGUCCCCCUACAGACUUUCCCUCACACGUGUUGGGAUCGAAUCAUUGACGGUCUUCAUUGAUUUCCGGGCGCAACUACUUUGACAUUUCGAGCGUCGGAUGGGAUAAUGAAUGUGAUGCUCAGAGCUCAUUUAGUUAUUGAACCCCAGAUGGGAUGAAGCUGCAGUCUUCACUCAAUAAGCAAAUAGAGCAUGUGGACUUGAGUCGCUAUGGACUACAGAUCUGUUAUGGAGCCGGCCUCGGCCUGCUUAUGGGGUCCUAUUGAUUUCAGUUAACCCAUGAAAUGAUUGUAUUGCUGGCCUGACAACACAGCCCUCAUUCCUGGUGAUUUAGAGAGAACCGCGCGGCACGUCAGAGCACCUGCAGGUUCCGCUUUGGGAAUUUCAAAAACCGGCAAUGUGAUCGAGACGAUGGAGAAGCGAUUUAAAAAGCCCCGAGACGCUCCGUGACUAGACAUCUCAUUGGUGGCUUCGCGGAGACCUCACCAGACGCGCACCUACUGCUCUCAUUCUGAGGCGAUGCAUCUAAAAGACAUCAUUAAUCCAAAGGGACGAGACGCGCUGCAGCUCUGAACGUACGGAAGCAAACAUGAUCAUCUGUCUGUGGAGGAUGAUCACCGGGUAUCUCAAUUAGUUUUAAUCUGAAUCAUCUCCAUGAAAAUUAUCAUUUUUCUUUUUUUCAAAUGAUUUAUUUCUUCGGCAUAAACGCUUUCAAGAAGACGCAUGAGAACCCUGAUUUUGACUAAUGGUGUCUAAAAGGCGGAUUAGCGUCUUCCUCCAGUUAGCAUGCCAUCAUUUGUCUCUUUCAGACGUAGUUUCUGCGCAUGCUUUUAUGGAUUUACUCCGUCACAAAGCAAUAAGUAAUUGGUCGCCAACACAGUUGUUAAAGCAUGUUAUAAUCAAUUGUAAUUGGAAAAUUAUGUUGGAAAUAAGAAGUCAUUCGAGCAGCACUUUCUUUACACUCACUUCCGAUUUUCAAAUAAAUUUAAUGUUGGCAUAAGUACAGCCAUUCUGAUAAUGUAAUGCAUUGAGGAAAGUGGAAAUAAGAGCACCAUAAAGAUGACGCUAAAAGCAUUUUGUUGAUAGUAAUUUCCCUGCCGGCACUAAGAGCAACAAGAUGGAGGAGAGGACUGAUGAGCAUCAUCACAAAUAACUUUAAAGACAGUCUACUCCGAGGACACGUGUCUCUCCUGAGCAGCCUGUGGCGGUUCGAGCGAGCCUCCCCCUCUCUGUACGUAUGAAACAACCAGACGGUCAUGUAUGAAGACUUGUGUCAAAGAGAGGGAGCAGGGGGGGGAGGAGGGGGGAGUGUGGCAUGUAGCCCUGAAGACGGCACAAUAUUCUUUUUGCAGUAGGGGAAACAAGAUCUGGAAAACUAGAGGUCUUCCAGGAAUUUGAUUAUUGCGAAUGCACAUUGCGCCGAGGACAAAUGCAGUCUCCAUUUGAAAAUGUAAUGUAGGAGCUGAUGCUUUUAAAGAAACCAACUCACGGUAGGUUUGUGUUUCUCACCGUGUGACCCCCGGCGCACCGCGAGAAGCCUCUUUUAACGAGCCGCGGCUCAUUCGUCUGAGCCUGCCGCUGGAUUCAUUCCGACGUCGCUCUGCGCCCGGGAACGCACGCUGACUCUGCACAAUUAGGCCGCCUGAAUAGAAAACCAGGAGCGGCCCGGGUCAAUUACCCCGACACUUAACCCCCGGCGGCGACUCAUCAGUCUCCGAGACGAAGGGCAGAGUGGACGGUUGGCGGGUUAAUUGAGUGCAGGCGACCCUUGUUGUGGUAAUGAACCUGUGUGCGGCUCACCCGGCGCCGGCCUCGCCCCGGGGGGGCUCACGUUUUAUAUCCAGUGACGAUGGGAGAAAUGACAAAGAAAUGACAAAGACAAGCUAACGUCCUCAUCCCACAUACAUGUCGAGUGGGAAGGAGGGGGGAGAGUUACCCUUUUGUUUUAAUGUGCUUUUACCCGUAGAUAUUCAGUCGUUGUCCUGCGGUCGGCUCUCAUUAACAUUACAAAUUACAAAUUUCGGCUAAUUAGCUUUAAAUGUUUCCAUUGUUUCCAUUGGAAGCACUUUUUGUCCAGGCACAGUUAUUUAUGUUAGAAAUUAUUAGAAUAUCAAUUUGAUUUCACUCUUUAAUGUUACUCAAAGUCAGCAGACUCAAACAGAAAUCUACUAUGUGAAAGCUCUGUGUUUGUUUGAUCAAACAUUGAUUAUAUUAUAGAUUAUAUUAAACCACCUAACUUAAUAACGGUCUCUUGAUACACUGCUUAACUUGCACCGUGGUAACCGGCCUAGUUUUUCUACGACUGUUAUCAUAGCUUUUAAAUUUGUUGUCACCGUCUGUAUUGCCUCGCAUCCGUUGGUCUCCAAUCAAUGACUUGUUUCCUUUCUGUUGUUUUUCACAAUCUUCACUUCUAUCAUCUGUGAAGUAACCUGCAUGACAGGUGCUGUUCAAAUACAGUUUGACCGGAUUAAAUCAUUCCUUUCAUAUAAACCAGUACAGGUAAUGUAAAAGUGUUAUUUUCAGAUUUCAUUGAUUCACAUGCUAAAAGACAAAGAUGAUCACAUGAUCUUUUUAGAAGUCUCUCUUUGUGGGAUUCCUUAUUAAAGCGGUUUGUAUGUCAAGCUUCUACUUUGCAUUUUUUUUUUUAUUGAUCUCUGGGUAGGACCACAUCAAACCCUUCCGUUUGAAUCGAUUAAAGUGCUUAUUUAGAUUUUUUUAUCCGAGGAGUUGAGCCUCGUCAUGUGUGUCAUUUUCCCUCUAAUAGAAAUCUGGGACCAAUGACUCGGAUGGAUGUUGGGGGGGGAAAUCAGCGGCAUCUGAGAGAGCUAGAAAUGAGCGCCUGUCGGUUAAUCAGCAAGUCUUGUUUCAGAUCAGGAAGGAUGGCUCGGAACAUCAGACAUCAAGACACUGGAAAGGGAGAAUGUUUAAGCUCGCAUCAAUUCAAAAGUAAAAGCUCCCUCGCCGAGGGGCUGUUAUCAGUCAUGAAAUGAGCCCUUAAACACCGGAUCCUACACGUGGCAGCUUAAAGUUCCAGAGACUCCAACUCUUGCAAUCUCAAUCUUGUGUGUGCAAUUCGAGAGUGAGAUGGGUGAGAAAUCUGCAUAAACAUGGUCCUUCUAUUUUUCUCUGUUUACACGUAGCUGCAGAUUAAUGAAGGACAGACGUGUGAAUAACUACUUAAUAAUACCAUCAAUACUUUCCAGAGUGCAUUCAAGUACAUUUAAAUAUAGUAAUAUAUGUGUAAGUAAAUGUGAACGUGUUAGCUGGUUAAGAAACGGAAUAAAUAUGUAAAACACCAGAUUCCAGAGUCCAGUUAAAGCCCAUAUACUAUUUUUUUAAUUGAUUUAAAACUCAAUUUCCAAAUAAAUAUAAUAUUAAACAUGUAUGUAUGUUUUUUUUUACAAUAUAGACCAGUCGCACGUGGAAGGCUUUAUCAGUAACUCCACUGCAGAGAAAUAUACGACGAACCUAUUGUAUUGUAUUUUUAAGGAUUCACUUUACACCCUGCUUCUCACAAGUUAACCUCUCAAAAGGUGUCAGAACCCCCCCCACCCCCCCACCCCGUAAAAAACCUUAGACCUUGAUAAUGCUCCAGAUGAUACUGAGUUCUUGGCUGCGUUUCUAGCUGUCCGGCCGGUGCCCCGACAUGCGGAGUAGAAAGGACCCUUACAGCUUUCAUUUCAAUUAAAUGUAUUUAUAUAUAUCUAUAUUAUUCCUUUAGGGGAAACAGUGGUACAUCCAAUCACAUUAGGCCUUGGUUGGUGAGUCGUGGACGGCACACUCCUCUUGUUCCCUGGUAUUGACUCGGUUCUCUUCUUUCACCUCCUCAAGGUCAGUCUGGAGAUUGUGGCUGACGUUGAUGUUGUCCUGCAAUGCCACCACCUCCUUUUCAAGAGCUUCCUUCUCUCUGAUGUUGUCCUCCUGCUCUUCUUGGAGUCUGCAGAGUUCCAUUCUCAGGCCCUGAUUGACUUCCUCUUCAGCGUGGAGCUUGGUGGCAUGCUCCAGGUUGCUUGAGACCUGUUGGUGUUUGAAGUCCUCAACAUGUUUAAGAAAGCUCUUCUCCAUCUCAGUGGCAUUGUCCUUCAUGGUGUUGAUGUUGUCCUGCAAUGCUACUACCUCCUUUUCAAGAGCUUCCUUCUUUCUGAUGUUUUCCUCCUGCUCUUCUAGGAGUCUGCAGAGUUCCGUUCUGAGGCCCUGACUGACCUCCUCCUCAGCGUGGAGCUUGGUGGCAUGCUCCAGGUUGCUUGAGACCUGUUGGUGUUUCAGGUCCUCCAAGUCUUUCAGAAAGGUCUUCUCCUUCUCUGAGGUGUUUUCCUGCAAUGCCACCACCUCCUUUUCAAGAGCGUCCUUCUUUUUGAUGUUUUCCUCCUGCUCUUCUAGGAGUCUGCAGAGUUCCGUUCUGAGGCCCUGACUGACCUCCUCCUCAGCGUGGAGCUUGGUGUCAUGCUCCAGGUUGCUUGAGAGCUGUUGGUGUUUCAAGUCCUCAAUGUCUUUAACAAAGGUCUUCUCCAUCUCAGAGGCGUUGUCCUUCAGAGUCUGGAUCUUCACCUUCAUGUGGCGAAGCAGAUCAUCCUUGGUUACCAUUAGCUGCUUUCUGGCUGCCAGAUCCUUGGACAUCUUGAGUUUCAUCUUUAAAUCCUCUUCAUGGCUCCAGUUGGUCUGAAGAUGUUUAAGUUCUUCACGGAGAGCUGCAUUUCUCUCUCUCUCGAGCUGGAUCUCCGCUGAGAAUUUCUGCUCCCUGAUUAUAUGAGACAUUUGCAGGUUCUCAAAUUCCAUUUGAAGUUCCUUCUCCUUCUUGGUUUUGAGGGUGCUGCAAACCCCACUGGCAAUCCCAAAGGUGUUCAUCGUCUCUGGUUCACCAGCCCUCCAGAGUCUCUCCAUUUCUUCACGCCUGGCUUUCUCCAUCUCCUUCAGGCUCUUCUCAAGGGCCAGCUCCUCUGUCACCUCAUGCAGUUGUUGAAUAAGCUCACUUUUUGUGUUGGUCUCUGAGUAGUUUUGGACACCCUCACGUGGAAUACCUGGGAAAGCUUUGACAGUAAAAUUCUGCCGCCUGGCUUGGUCCUGGUUGUACCGGGGGGCCCGGGGCCUCCUGUUGUUUCCACCACGCUGCAUCGAUUAGCUGGGAGACACGUAUACAAUGAUCUUGUACAAAUGCAGUUAGUAACUGAUGAACUUGUAAUGAUACGGUCUGUCAGGGAUAAACGGUUGUGACAACUUGUUUUUAUUUAAAUUGGUGUUUCCGUGGAAGGUUCUCUCUCUGUGACAAUGGUGUCCUGGUGCUAUGGCAACCACUGUUAUUAUUAUUUUUUAAUGGAUUCACCAUUUUAUUUAGGUUUUACUGAAUGUUUGUGUUUGAAUGUUUUUGAGGCAAUCUCCACACAAUACAUGACACGAGUAUGUUGUCAAUUCAGUCUCCACGCUAGCAUGUGAUGUCCUGUUUAAUGAUUUUAUAGCACUGUCAAGUACACAUUUUUCUCACACACAUAUUGCUUCACUAACUAUGACUAUUUCUUUGACUAUAAUGACUCCCACUGAAGGUUUUAUAAUAAAUAAGCGAUACCAAAUUCCCUGGUAAUUUGGUUUUAUUACAUUAAAUGACUUAACUAAGGGGGCGGCACGGUGACGUGGUGGUUAGCACUGUCGCAGCAAGAAGGUCCUGGGUUUGAUUACGCCCAGUGGCCUUUCUGUGUGGAGUCUGCAUGUUCUCCCCGUGUCUGCGUGGGUUCUCUCCGGGUUCUCCGGCUUCCUCCCACAGUCCAAAGACAUGCUCUGAGGAUCAGGUCGAUUGGGGACUCUGGCUGGGAUAGUCUCCAGCCCCCUCGCGACCCUGUGUGCAGGAUAAGCGGUUUGACGAUGGAUGGGACAUAACUAAGCUCAUCUUUUAAAGAUGAUUACUUUAGAGAAUAUAUGUAUGCUCUGAUAUGAAAACUGUUUCUGUUUUUAGUCAAUUAAGAGUUUUAAGUUUUUGGUCCUUUGCUAUGUAAAAGAUCACAAAUAAGACGAAUGUUCACAUGCUUCUCCGUGCCCCAGUGGAUUAUGGGACGAUUUUUGCCCUACAGGGGACAAAGCAGUUUUUAAAUGAGUACGAGCUUAUACACUAGGUCCGUUUUUAUAGGGUCCAAAGCAAGCCGAGGAUACUUUCUCUGUGAAAACAAUUAUAAAUAAUCUGCACAGUUGCUUCUGUGAUGUUGAUUGGAUGCGUACGGCGCCGUCCUGUGUUCGCCCACACUCUGGGGCUUCUGCACACACACACACACACACACACACGAUGUACUCAAUGGAAACACAUAACAUUAGAACGAUGUAUAGGCAACCCUGACAAACUAUAUUCCAACACACUAUUAUAUUUAACUUGUAAAAAAAGCCUCUUUUCUUUUGACAAAGGACUUGAACAACCCGCCAUGCAAAUAAUCUGACUUGAAGGAAGCCAUUACUCACUCAGUGCCCCUUUGUAUUAGAUUGCGGCCUUUUCCGUUUCCCAUUAUGUAAUAACUUGGUUACCAAGGUCCUGUUUUUUUUUUCUUCUUUACUCAGGCAUCCCUAAAAUGUGUCUGCCUCUCCGUCCCUUCAUCUGAUGGACUUUUUGGGUGUGUUGCUGAGGACCCAAAGAGGUGUAAUGUCUUCUUCUCAUCUACGGGACAUAUUAUUAUUAUUAUUAUUAAUAAAUAAGAAGCGGACAGGGCCGUAGUGAUGUCACACAUUAGUUCAGUGGACUGACGUUUUGAAGUUUGGCAUUUUUUGCUCUCGCCAUCUUGGCUUUUUAUAUUGAUGGCCUAUUAUAUAGCCUGUAAAUCGCUGCGUAGCCCCGCCCCAAAGCAUAUCCUACUUUAUGGUCUGUUUGACUCUAAAUGAACAUCAUGCUGUAUUGAAAAAGACUUGUAACUAGAGAAUGAGACCAUAAUCUCAUGUUUACAAUGUUCAACGAGGAGAGGAGUUUGACCAAACUUCCUCCAAGAACUUUAACUUUACUUGACCUGCUGUUUAGCAUUGACUCAAUGUCUGCUGUCAGGACUCCAAGCUAUUAUCUGUGUGACCUUUUUAAAUGCAGAGUUUCCGAAUGAGUAGGCGGACAUAAAUGAUGAACUACGUAAGUAUACCUCGGCCGUCUAAUCGAUGCUCGCUUAGAAUGCUGCAUGCAGUGUUUGGUUGUGAAACUGUCACUUUAAUGUGAUAUUCAGAUAUUCACAAGGAACGGAUGCAUCUAAUGUCACAUUAAAUUGGAUGGAAUCUAUAGGGAUCAGAUACUAUACCUCUUCCCAGUUUCCCAAAUGGAUGUGAUCAGUGCUUGAUGGUAAUUCAACAUACCCGACAGCCCUAUUUGUGUAAUAACUUCCAGCAGGUUAAACGAUGUCAUGUCUCCACAUGCGCUUCAGGGAGUUGAUCAAAUGAUUAUUUUGUUAAAGGGACCCUCGGCUACCCGACACAGGGAUGAUGAAUCGUAUCAACGGCCUGAUCCAUCGUCCUCUCCUGUAAUUUGUCCACAUCUUUUUGUCCCCGGCCGACAAUAAUGUGGAUUAAUAUUUAAUAUGCGGGGGGGUAAUGCCCCCCCCUCUUUCCUCUUUCCUGCUGCUGACUUGGCAGGAUGUCCUCAGCCACUCAGUUACCACUAAACAGCUAUUGAGGCCCACUUCUUUCACAGGAUGCUUACAAACAUUAUGUUAUGGGAACGUGUGACAGGAUGCUGACAGCAGAAACAGCUGCUCGACCCUGUAACUUAAACGUUGGCUUCAUCACAAAUAUUCAGCAAAGGCGGUUCAGUGCAUCCACUCCUUUCCAACUGAAUCAAAAAUCCUCCUCAAAUGAGAAUAAAAGGUUUGGUUUUUUUUGCCCAGUUGCAAAUGUUUUUUUCCAUUUCAUCUUAAAAUGCUUGUAAAUACACUUGAAACCCUCAAAAGUCUGUGAUAUUUUUACCUCACAGCGUCUCCAUAGCGAUGGAGUCACAAAGUGGGAGAAGUCAUUUCAGGCAUCAAGGACUAAAAGUCCCUUCUAAUUUUCUGGAUGGACGAUGUUGGGUCAGCUGGACAAUAACCUCUCCUUGUUGAAUGGUUAGUGGCAAAGACGAGCAGCUGCUUUACGUGCAGCGCACACACGCCUCAUGGCGUCAUGCAUCAUGGGAAACUCCCGCCAUGAUAAUUACACAAACACAGACGCAUCUCCAAAAGUCGAUGCUGGCAGCGGUACGAAGGCGUCGACCGGCCUUCUCGGCCUAACGCGCGCCACCGGUAGAUCACGCUUCCACCCUCUUGACUGUCCUCGUCACCAUGGUUACGUUGGCCGAGGCCCGUAGCUAACCUUUGUAUCCGAGCAGGCUCAGAUUUAAGUUUGAAAGACUUUUAUUCUUUUUAAAAUACUCUUCUCUUUGAGAUGCGAAGCCGAAUUCGACCUCAGACAAGGGGUCACCGCCUGGUAUCCGGCAAUAAUAAAAAGAGAAUCUUCUGUGUAGAACUGCAGAUCAGCCAGGCUCCUAUUUUCUCACAUUGCCCUUCUCCGGAAUCAUCCGCAGUGCCGUCAAAACCAAUAUUAGCUGGAAUCAUCAGCGUGGGCUUUGGAGAGUGGAGAUAUUGAAGACGCAGGGGCGAGGAGAAUAACACGCCUUUUUAAUGAAUUGUCGGAUUGUUUUUCUGCUGGAGCGGCUGCGUUGAAGCUUAGCGGCCUUUCUGAUUUUGGACCAACUGGCAUUUUCUAUCCCUGUGUCUGGUUUGGGGAUUGCUGGUAUUUGGUUUGUGAGGAGGUUUGUGUCGGGGCACCAGCAGUGAGCGUGCAUACACAUGUCCAUUUCCUUCCAGACACGCACACACACACACACACACACGCAGCACAGGCUGCAUUCAGGCAAACAGACUCAAGUCAAAACGGUCUACUGGGACACUGCUGCAGCAUUGGGGCUAUAUACAUUUUUUUCAGGAUUUGUCCCACUUACAAAUCAAGCUCCUGUUAAGGAGUACUGAAGACAUCCUAAGGGGGGACACAAGUACCUGAACCAAAUAGUGUGACCAUCCAGCCGUUAGUUGCGGAGAAAUUUGGCUCAAAGCGCCCGUGUGGCGGAGCGCGGGGACCAGCCGCUGAUCCUCCGGCCGUCGCGGGCCGCAAACUUUAAUGAGCAAAUUGAUUUAAUGUGUCCUCCUGUGUGAGGAGGGAGCGGCAGUAAGUACAGCACCGAUUGAUUCAUCGUGGGGCCUGAAAAUGAAAGCGCUAUUUAACACCGGCUGAUGCGGCCACGUACCGCCGUUUAGAUGUAAAAAUAAAUCCUACUGCCUGCAGAACGGCACCUUGCGGUUUAUCAUUGUUAACAAGCGUAUGAGGGGAGAAUUCAUACCAUAAGGAAAUGUUAUACCGGUAUACCGCACAUCCCUAUCAUUAAGGUUGCCUCUUUACGUUUUUAGGAUCCUUUUAAAAGGAAUUUAAAACUUUAAAGACCACUGACCUUUUUAGUUGAGUAAAAUGAGGUAAUUACAUCCCUCGCCCCUUGACAGUAAAGGUUUCCACUUACAGGAAUUAUGCACAAUUGCAGUUCCAUGUAUCUUUUCCUUGAACAAUAUUCCAAUAUUUCACAUUCAGGGACAGAGAAGACAUUAUUGCCAAUGCAAAUCAGAUGCAUUUACAUGAGUAGUCUGAGAACAUCCCGCGAUACUAAAUCUCUUGUCUGUGGUUGUAAUGUAAUCUGCAGCGGGCGCAGUGACACCUAACCACUCCCCCUCACCGUCUCUUUCCUGUUUGACCUUUCUCUCUCCCUGCUGGAGUUGAUUUACACGUGGACAUUCGUCAGCCGCAGCGAGGCUUUCCGGUCCUCCUCUAAUCGCCUGCUGGACCUGCUCCAGAACAACGGGCCUUUUUUUUAAAUAUAAAGCGCUGCAUUCCUGGAGAAACUAGAGAAAGAGAGAAAUUGCUAGAUGUGAGAAAGGUGAAUUUACAAUAUGUGUAAUUCCCCCUUUUGGCAGGAUGACGUUUAAUUGGUGUGAUUGAAGGCAGAUGGAGCGGCAAAGGUUGGGAAGAUGCCAAGAACCGGAGCUUCAGAGCGUGUGAAGAGGUGCAGGUAGAGAGACAGCAGCAGCAUGCAGCUUACUGGAUAUGUGGGAAUAUAUAUAUAUAU
ensembl:lncRNA